rnacentral:lncRNA from 1 species
AGUGUUACAGGCUUCAAGUCCCCUUCAAGGAGAUUAACCCCCAAAGCCUCUGGCCUUGUCUCCCUGUGAUGCCCCUUCCCCCACCUUUACCAGCCUGGGCCACUCACUCCCUGCUAGAGAAGGAAUGUCGCCCAUUCCUCACCCCACCUCUACAUAACCUGUUCCUGAUGCAAAUAAGGCAUCCUGCCCAAGACCAAUCAGGAGAUCAGAUUGGGUCUCCACUCAGGUCGCAUAGUGGGGGUAUAAAGACUAUAGCAGAGUGAGUUGGGCCCUCGUUUUUUAACCUGAGUGCACAUGAUUCCUCUCUCUCCCUCCCUGGAAAUGUACCUUUGCUUUAAUAAAUUUGUAAAAUGUUCACCAUUCCAAUGCUUUGCUAUGGCGAGACAGGGAUGGAGGAAACUCUGACUAUCAUGAGGACUGGAGAGAGGUCUGUGCCUAAAUUUAUCAUUGCGAAAUUAAACAAAAUUAUAAACUGGAGUUCCCGUCGUGGCGCAGUGGUUAACGAAUCCGACUAGGAACCAUGAGGUUGCGGGUUAGGUCCCUGCCCUUGCUCAGUGGGUUAACGAUCCGGCGUUGCCAUGAGCUGUGGUGUAGGUUGCAGACGCGGCUCGGAUCCCGCGUUGCUGUGGCUCUGGCGUAGGCCAGUGGCUACAGCUCCGAUUCGACCCCUAGCCUGGGAACCUCCAUAUGCUGGGGGAGCGGCCCAAAGAAAUAGCAUUAAGACAAAAAAUAUAUAUAUAUAUAUAAACUAAGCAAUGUUAACUUUGUCCAUUUCACUCUUUUCCUUUUCAAUGUCGAUAAGUGAUUUGCGUUUAAUAAGCAUAGUUCAGGGAGUUCUCGUUGCGGCUCAGCAGAAAUGAAUCCAACUGGUAUCCAUGAGGAUGAGGGUUUGAUCCCUGGCCUCAGUCAGUGGGUUAAGGAUCUGGUGUUGCCAUCUGCUGUAGUGUAGAUUGCAGACUUGGCUCGGAUCUGGCGUUAUUAUGGCUGUGGUGUAGGCUGGCAGCUGUAGCUCCAAUUGAACCCCUAGCCUGGGAACCUCCAUAUGCCAUGAGUGCGGCCCUAAAAAGCAAAAUAAUAAUAAUAAUAAUAAUCCGAUUAGUAUCCAAGAGAAUGUGGGUUUGAGGGUUUGAUCCUGGCCUCCCUCAGUGGGUGAAGGAUCUAGCAUUUCCGUGAGCUGUGGUGUAGGUCGCAGAUGUUGCUUGGAUCUGAUGUUGCUGUGGUAUAGGCCAGCAGCUGUAGCCCUGAUUCGACCCCUAGCCCGGGAACUUCCACAUGCUGCAGGGGCAGUCCUAAGAGAAAAAAAGAACAAUAAAAGCAGUAUUGAGCUCCUGGAAGGGCCCCAGGAAUGAAAUCAGAACAGUCUCUCUUGGGGUUUCAGGAUCUCCUGCCUUUAUUUCUCUCUGGCAUCUUCUCCAUUUGCCUUCUCCUCCCUACUGAUUGACUGCUGGUGUCUGUUCAUGUCACAUGUGGCAAAACAUUGCCACCGUUCCCAUGUCCUCAUGGCCUUCCAGUGCUGGCAACUGCUCUUUUCAGCUCUUGAUUCAAAUUGAAGAGAUUAAAAAAUUUGACUGUCCCCCUACCUUGGUUAGUCAUGAGUUGUGGCCAUAGAGUGGGCUCAUGUGCCGUGCAGCCCCCUCUAAGCAGGGACCAUGACAGGAGAAGCGAUGAUAGAUCUGUCUUUUACAAGUAUUUAAAGAAACAGACAAUAAGACUGAGUAUUAUUGAACAAUAAGUCUAAUCUUUUUUUCUCAUUUCAUAAUGUUUUUAUGAAUCUCCUAGGAAAUAGCAUUUUAGUGCAUCUAGAGUACAUUUAAAAGAACAGUGAAUCUAUUCUUUUUUUAAAAGAUAAGACUUCAUAAAACAAAUCUUUGAAAACUUGGCAUAGGCAAAUAUUUCUUAGCCACAAAAAAUGUGCACUCCAUAAAACAGAGAAUUGGUAUAUUGAACUUUAUCGAGAUUAAAAACUUUUUUUCAAAAUACACCAUUACAUAAACAAAAAGACAAGUCGCAGAAUGGGAGAAAAUAUUCAAUAGAUAGAUAAAUAUAGAUAGGUUAAUAGAUGAUAGAGAGAGAUGGGUUGCUCUGACAAAAGACUGUAUCCAGGAUACAUAAAGAAUUCUUCCAAGUUAUUAAAAAAAAUUUUAAUGGGCAAAUUUUUUUUUUUUUUUUUGUCUUCUUAGGGCCACACCCACAGCAUAUGGAAGUUCCCAGGCUAGGGGUCAAAUCAGAGAUGUAGCUGCUGAGCUACACCACAACCACAGCACCGUGGGAUCUGAGCCGCAUCUGCGACCUUCACCACAUCUCACAGCAGCUGCCGGACACUUAACCCAGUGAGCGAGGCCAGGGAUCAAACCUGCGUCCUCAUGGAUGCUAGUCAGAUUCGUUUCCACUGAGCCACGAUGGGAAAUGCAAAUUAAAUCCCCAAUGAGACACUACCACAUAUUCGUUAGAGCAGCUAAAAUUAAAAAGACUGACAGAGUUCCCAUCGUGGCGCAGUGGUUAACAAAUCCGACUAGGAACCAUGAGGUUGCGGGUUCAGUCCCUG